AACAAACAAAAAAAAAAAAAACUUGUUGCUUUUGUUUCCUUAAUAAAAGAAAAACCAAAACACAACACCAACAACAUUGUCUUCACCAAUGCCACAUGAGGUUUCUAGAGGCCAUUUGGGAUUGUAGAGGUGGAAAGUUUUUAGUUGCUUGCUAACAGAGUUGAGCUUUUAAAACAACCAUGAAUUCCACAAGAGUUGAGACCAAAGCAGCCGUUAAGGCUCAAAAGAAACAACAAAAGUUGGUGAAAAAACAACAGCUGCAAAAAACCGAACAAUUAAAUAAGAAUCAGAAAAAUUCUUUACAAACUGCCAAAAACUCCAAAAACCCCACAACAACUGCCGUUAAUCACAAUAACAAUAAUAUUAAUAGCAACAAUAAUAAUCUUAAUGAAACCAACAACAACAACAACAAUAACAACACAAAUAUCAGUCAAAAAUUGCGUGAAUACUAUGAACAACAGCAACAACAAAAACAACUUAUCAAUAGCAAUUCCCAAACACUUUUAGCCGGCGGCCCACCCAAAUUUGAAAGAUCCGGUAGUUUCUCUUUAAAAGGUAAACUCUCGAAACUUAUCAAUUCGAUAACCAGCAGUAAGGAGAGUUUAAAUAAAAUCGAAGACGAUAGUGAGUUACCUUUUAAGUUUACCCGCAGUCGUUCCAUGAUUUUACCACGACGUACAAAUCGUCGCAGUUUGAUAGAACCUCAACUAGAGCAAUUAUCCGAAGAAGAUCCCACCUCACCGGCUUCGCCACGUAAGAAUUCCAUAGAAAAUAACGAUAACGAUAAUAAUACCCCACUAAGGCCUCAGUCUAUGGCUAAUCAGGCCACUUCCACGCCUGUCGAGACUUCCCCGGCUCAACUGCGCAAAACCUCUACUCCCGUAUUAACACAAGAUGCUGCCUUUGAUCCGGUGGCCAAUUUUAAAAAACGUCGUUCCUCCACCUUAAUAUCCUCCUUUAAGACCACUUUUGGCUUAAGUUCGGAAAAGAAAAAGGAUAAAUUAAAUGACAAAUGGCGGGCCUCGCUUCAGUCCCUGCAGGCAGUAGACAAUAUGGUCAGUUAUGAGAAUAUGUCCUUCAUCGACUAUGACAAAUUCAAUAGCUAUGAAAAGCAAUUAGAACGCAAACUCUCACAAGUUAGUCUUAUGGAUCCUUCUUUAAAUUCCUCCCUAAUUCCCGACAACUCCCUGAUAUCGGAUAACUCCUCCUAUAUACUACUCUCUCCCUGUACUCCCUCUAAUGCCACCACCACCUCUCCCUUUAUUACCCCGCAAACAGUGGUAAGACGUCGUAAAACUUCCUCCUCUCUACACGGGUCGGCGCGUGAAUUAGCUAAACGUCGUAGUGCCUCUCGUAAUAGUUUUCAUAUGGAUCCGGAUUAUGAGCAUAAUUUGGAUAAACCGCGUAAUGUGUAUCGUGAAAGUUUGGAUUCGCGUAAACUCGAGUUACUAAAUGACAUUUCGCGUAAUUCGUAUAUCUUAGAUAGUGAUUUAGUGGAUAUAUUGGAUUUGGCCUCGACGCCUUUAACGGCUAGAAAAAGGCCUUACUAUAAACGUUGUGCCAGUCAGAUCAGUACGGAGCGCACGAAGGCGGGUCAGGAUGUUGUCGAUGCAGCAGUUAAAGUUCAGGUAAUUUAUUGUUUACAACAACAACAAUAGCAACAACUAUUUGUAUUUAAAAGUGGAAUUACCUUAAAAUCUUCUCUUUACUGCACUGUCGUCAUUUCACCUUCCAUAGCACUCGUGUCUAUCUCUUGCUCUCUUUUCGACACAUUCUGCUGAAAAUGUAUUUUUUUCAUCAUAUUAUUUUAACAAAAUUUUGAGCUUAAAACAACAACAACGACUUUAGGGUUUGUGUAACUCUAUAUAAAUUGAAAUUGCUUUAUUUAUAUUAUACAUAUUUAAUUUAAUAAACUUACGAAUGUUAAGUAAUCAAAAAUUGGUGAUAUGUGAAGCAACAAAUAAAACGUAAGUUACAGCC